GAUGAACGCUGGCGGCGUGCCUAAUACAUGCAAGUCGAGCGAACAGACGAGGAGCUUGCUCCUCUGACGUUAGCGGCGGACGGGUGAGUAACACGUGGAUAACCUACCUAUAAGACUGGGAUAACUUCGGGAAACCGGAGCUAAUACCGGAUAAUAUAUUGAACCGCAUGGUUCAAUAGUGAAAGACGGUUUUGCUGUCACUUAUAGAUGGAUCCGCGCCGCAUUAGCUAGUUGGUAAGGUAACGGCUUACCAAGGCAACGAUGCGUAGCCGACCUGAGAGGGUGAUCGGCCACACGGGAACGGAGACACGGUCCAGACUCCUACGGGAGGCAGCAGUAGGGAAUCUGCCGCAAUGGGCGAAAGCCUGACGGAGCAACGCCGCGUGAGUGAUGAAGGUCUUCGGAUCGUAAAACUCUGUUAUUAGGGAAGAACAAAUGUGUAAGUAACUAUGCACGUCUUGACGGUACCGAAUCAGAAAGCCACGGCUAACUACGUG
rnacentral:rRNA from 1 species